rnacentral:rRNA from 1 species
UACAGAGGGGGCGAGCGUUGUUCGGAAUUACUGGGCGUAAAGGGCGCGUAGGUGGCCUUCUAAGUUGAACGUGAAAUCCCUCGGCUUAACCGAGGAACUGCCUCCCAAACUGCUUGGCUUGAGACCGGGAGAGGUGAGUGGAAUUCCCAGUGUAGCGGUGAAAUGCGUAGAUAUUGGGAGGAACACCAGUGGCGAAGGCGGCUCACUGGACCGGUACUGACGCUGAUGCGCGAAAGCGUGGGGAGCAAACAGG